AGUUCAGCAAGAGAUUUCCUUCUCCCUGUUGAGUUUUACCCCAAGGGCCUUUCUACUGCCUCCUCUACCCUUGUAUUUUGCUCAGCUCUCUAAAUUGACUCAGCUCCAGGCUGGGUCACUAGAAAAUCUUCACAGGGAGAUCCCAGGGCAGCAAGAGAGUGAGAAUGGAAACUGCAAGAUUUCUUGAUUCCUUGCUUAGAAAUAACACAAUGUCACUUCAGCUGCAAGUACCAAGACACCUGAAAUUGUGUCCUGAAAAUGUAUACAACAAGACAGAGAAAUUUGCUGAAAAAGCACCACAGCAAGAAACAACUAAUACAUCCAAUCACCAAAAAGAAGAAAGUGACCAUGCUAACUCCUUUACAACAGACAAUCCAGUCAGCCAUCCUGAACAACUUGUCUCUGCAGAUCCAGAAUUCAUCACACCACUGGAUAUAUUGAAUAAAAGAAUGAGUGGUGCAGAGAACCCAUAAAUCAUGAAAUCCGAGAAGUUGGACACAAUGAAUACAGUGUUCUAUGAAGAUAAAUAUUAAUAAUAAAAUUGUUAAAAUUG